rnacentral:rRNA from 1 species
GACGAACGCUGGCGGCGUGCCUAAUACAUGCAAGUAGAACGCACAGGAUGCACCGUAGUUUACUACACCGUAUUCUGUGAGUUGCGAACGGGUGAGUAACGCGUAGGUAACCUGCCUGGUAGCGGGGGAUAACUAUUGGAAACGAUAGCUAAUACCGCAUAAGAACAUUUACUGCAUGGUAGAUGUUUAAAAGGUGCAAGAGCAUCACUACCAGAUGGACCUGCGUUGUAUUAGCUAGUUGGUGAGGUAACGGCUCACCAAGGCAACGAUACAUAGCCGACCUGAGAGGGUGAUCGGCCACACUGGGACUGAGACACGGCCCAGACUCCUACGGGAGGCAGCAGUAGGGAAUCUUCGGCAAUGGGGGGAACCCUGACCGAGCAACGCCGCGUGAGUGAAGAAGGUUUUCGGAUCGUAAAGCUCUGUUGUUAAGGAAGAACGUGUGUGAGAGUGGAAAGUUCACACAGUGACG